AAUAAGAUAGGAUAGUUAAGUCCGAUAGGUUCAUACCCUAUAAGUGAAUUUUUCUCUUAUUG
rnacentral:tRNA from 1 species